rnacentral:rRNA from 1 species
AACGAACGCUGGCGGCAGGCUUAACACAUGCAAGUCGAACGCACCGCAAGGGGAGUGGCAGACGGGUGAGUAACGCGUGGGAACGUGCCCUUCGCUUCGGAAUAGCCCCGGGAAACUGGGAGUAAUACCGCAUACGCCGUAUUGGGAGAGAUUUAUCGGAGAAGGAUCGGCCCGCGUUAGAUUAGCUAGUUGGCGGUGUAAUGGACCCCCAAGGCUACGAUCUAUAGCUGGUCUGAGAGGAUGAUCAGCCACACUGGGACUGAGACACGGCCCAGACUCCUACGGGAGGCAGCAGUGGGGAAUCUUGGACAAUGGGCGCAAGCCUGAGCCAGCCAUGCCGCGUGAGUGAAGAAGGCCUUAGGGUUGUAAAACUCUUUCGCCGGAGAAGAUAAUGACGGUAUCCGGAGAAGAAGCCCCGGCUAACUUCGUGCCAGCCGCCGCCGUAAUAC